UGAGGAUUUUCUUAAUGGGGUAGGAAGAAAGAAAAGGAGCGUGGUUAGGGAAGUUAGUGAGGAUGUGGUGUUGUACUCCGGUAAGGUAGAGUUUGAUGGUAUUAUGUGAAAGUUUUAGGUGUAAAUGGCAAAAGGAGGCAAAAGCCACCAUGGUUUUGAUGGAAAGGUCACCUUGUAAGCAAAACUCAGCUGUGAAUUUGUUAAAGAUAGUCAGUGCCCUAGCGUAAGAGAUAGUGGUGUUGGGAGAAACCAGGGUUAGCUGGAGGAAUG
rnacentral:lncRNA from 1 species